rnacentral:rRNA from 1 species
GCGGCCUAUCAGCUUGUUGGUGAGGUAAUGGCUCACCAAGGCGACGACGGGUAGCCGGCCUGAGAGGGCGACCGGCCACACUGGGACUGAGACACGGCCCAGACUCCUACGGGAGGCAGCAGUGGGGAAUAUUGGGCAAUGGAGGGAACUCUGACCCAGCGACGCCGCGUGCGGGAUGAAGGCCUUCGGGUUGUAAACCGCUUUCAGUAGGGAAGAAGCGAAAGUGACGGUACCUGCAGAAGAAGCACCGGCUAACUAUGUGCCAGCAGCCGCGGUAAUACAUAGGGUGCAAGCGUUGUCCGGAAUUAUUGGGCGUAAAGAGCUCGUAGGUGGUUCGUCACGUCGGAUGUGAAAAUCUGGGGCUUAACCCCAGACCUGCAUUCGAUACGGGCGAGCUAGAGUGUGGUAGGGGAGACUGGAAUUCCU